rnacentral:rRNA from 1 species
AGAGUUUGAUCCUGGCUCAGAUUGAACGCUGGCGGCAUGCUUAAUACAUGCAAGUCGAACGGUAACAUGCCCUCCGGGGUGAUGACGAGUGGCGGACGGGUGAGUAACGCAUAGGAAUCUACCUAGUAGUGGGGGACAACUUGGGGAAACUCAAGCUAAUACCGCAUACAUCCUACGGGAAAAAGAGGGCCUCUUCUUGAAAGCUCUUGCUAUUAGAUGAGCCUAUGUCAGAUUAGCUUGUUGGUGGGGUAACGGCCUACCAAGGCGACGAUCUGUAGCUGGUCUGAGAGGAUGAUCAGCCACACUGGGACUGAGACACGGCCCAGACUCCUACGGGAGGCAGCAGUAGGGAAUAUUGGACAAUGGGCGCAAGCCUGAUCCAGCAAUGCCGCGUGUGUGAAGAAGGCCUGCGGGUUGUAAAGGCACUUUCCAUUAGGAAGAAAAGCUCAAGGUUAAUAACCCUUGAGUCUUGACAUUAUCAAUAGAAAGAAGCACCGGCUAACUCUGUGCCAGCAGCCGCGGUAAUACCAGAGGGU